rnacentral:rRNA from 1 species
AGAUUGAACGCUGGCGGCAUGCCUUACACAUGCAAGUCGAACGGCAGCACGGGAGCAAUCCUGGUGGCGAGUGGCGAACGGGUGAGUAAUACAUCGGAACGUGCCCAAUCGUGGGGGAUAACGCAGCGAAAGCUGUGCUAAUACCGCAUAAGAUCUACGGAUGAAAGCAGGGGAUCGCAAGACCUUGCGCGAAUGGAGCGGCCGAUGGCAGAUUAGGUAGUUGGUGAGGUAAAGGCUCACCAAGCCUUCGAUCUGUAGCUGGUCUGAGAGGACGACCAGCCACACUGGGACUGAGACACGGCCCAGACUCCUACGGGAGGCAGCAGUGGGGAAUUUGGACAGUGGGCGAAG